GUCAUGUUGGUGGGUACAUUAUUGUGUCCAUCAUUUAAAGAAUUGUCCGCCUAUGUGGGGCACACAUAAAUUCAAACAUGAUUUUUUAUCUCUCGUAGGGAAAAGGUACAAUUUCAUAUUAGUGUUUACAGCAAGUAAAGAUUAUGGGUAUCUACUUUUCCUAUUUCACAAAGAUACUGACAUCACCACAAUGGUGACGAAGUGAACAAACCUUGGCAAUGUAAGCAAAAAAACAAAAUUUUGCAAGAAAAGAAACUUUUCUAAUCGAUUGAAGUGUGACCCUAUUUCUACAAAGAAGGUGUAAUCUGUAAGCAUCACCAAAGGAAACAUCAGACGAACAAAACAAACGAAAGGCCACGAUAGGAAGUAAAAAAAUUGAAUUCAGUGUGCGGAAUAUAUGUUUAUAUACCCAGCCUAGAAUCUGAGAAUACAAUUUGCAGCCAUAAAUGCAAUAAAUGGAAGGAAAAACAUAAGAUUUGGUACAUCCUUGACAGACUAUUCAUGUGUGCCAUCUUGGCCAAAAACAUAGGAAAUCAUGAUCCUCGAAAUGACAACUUUCGAAGUCCUAAAGCUCGCUAAGAUGAUUAAUAAGCAUAGAGCCAGAGUCAAGGCACAAAGAAAUAUCUGCACGUAAAGCAUGUCAUCCUUUAUUUCUACACCAAAGUAUACUACUGCCGUAGUACUGCACUGUCUAAUUACUAAGUGAAGAAAUCAUUGAAGCAUGAAUCACACAAACUAAACAGUACUAAGCAAGGGAUAAUUAAGGUCUAAAUGCAUGCACAUACCUCUGCUUAUAGAAGUGUCUCUUACAACACUCUGUUUCAUAACUUGAUUACAGAUUUAAGCUUCCAGGCAUGCACCUAAGAACCAGACAUGGCACCAAUGAGCAUUGAUAUAUUAGCAAAUAUAUUCCUUAAAUUCAGAGGUGAUAAAAAAAGAACACCCAUUUAGUUACCAUUUCUACAAUGGUUUGGGAAUUAGCAAGUGUGGAAGUUCUAUUUCUGUAAAGACUCUUGAUCAAAUGCAUUUCUCCCAGAAAGAUAAAAUUGGUACCAUCAAGAGUUCAAGACCAUUGGAGCAUAGAAUAUCAUGAAAACACCUUUAUACUAUGGAAAUAAGCACCUUCUCCCCUUAAUACAUGGUUAUAUUUGUUCUUCUUCUCCUGUGUCAGAUCGUAAUUCAUUUAAUCAUAACCUUUAUAGUAUGGAAUAGUAAUAAUCAGGCUCAACAUCCGAUGUAGUUGGACUAAAUAAGGUACCAUUAGUUUUCCCAUGAAAAAUAGGCAAGCCAUAUUAGAUUUUUGAAAUAAAAAAGGCAAAACCUGCAGCAAGCAUGUUCGUCUGCAUCAUCUUGUGGUCCUUUAUCAUCGAGAUAAUACCCAUACGCAUAUGUGCAUUGCAGCACUUGUAUGCAUUCUAUGAUCUGUCGUAGUGAAGGAUGAUAGGGUAGGCGUGUCAGAAAAAGGAAGGCUAUAUUAAGCAUAGAACCAGUUUAUGGGCAUCAUAAGAUAUUUAGCCUAUGACCAAGCUUCAGGUAUGAACUUUAGUUCAGUCUCUGGUAUUCCAAGGAUAUCACUUAACUUCGUAAGCUAGAUGAGAACAAAUAGCCAAUCGGCAGCGCCGCUGAAUUAUGAGCCUCAAUUAGGCAGCGCCGCUGAACUCUACACCGUGCGAUCCUGCGUCAUUUAAUAAUAUAAUUGUAUAAGCAUGCUAGAAAGAAGCUAGCAAAUUAUCUGUUUAUCAUUCCUCUAAUCCUUGAGGCAUUUAGGCAGUCAGGCAAAAUUUGGAACUGAAUACUGCAUGCAGCAAUUUAAUAGUGUACCUAUGGAGACAAGCUAAGAGCCAAUGUAACAAAACACACAAUAGAUUUACAAAGUACUACAGAUCACCUGAAAGUUUGCCAAAUAACAGGCACACCAAAUUGUAAGCAGAGCUGGUAAUUCCUCUGUCAAACUAACAGAACACACGAGAGGAGUAAGCCAUUGCCCAGCAAAUUUACCUCGAGGGAUAGAAUAGAACAACUCCCGCAAAGGUAAAAAAAGAUAAAACAAGAACAGAGUCAGUCAUGAACAGAACAUGCAAAGGAAUAGAUUUACCAGCAUGGAAGAGACCUUUACACAAAAGAAAUAACUCACCCACGUACAUUUGCUUCCCAAACACAAACAACAGAGCAUGCAAUUGAAUUCAGUCAGCCGCGAGCUCGCCUUCUCUCCCGUGCUCUCCCCUCCCUCGGUCCCCUUCUUCCCUCCCGACCGACGGAGCCAUCCAGUGGCGGCGGCGGCGGUGGCGGCAUGGGCCUGAUGCGACCACGCAGCAGUCAAACAAACUUUUGCAAGAAAAGAAACAUUUCUAAUCGAUUGAAGUGUGACCUUAUUUCUACAAAGAAGGUGUAAUCUGUAAGCAUCACCAAAGGAAACAUCAGACGAACAAAACAAACGAAAGGCCACGAUAGG
rnacentral:lncRNA from 1 species